rnacentral:rRNA from 1 species
UGGGGAAUUUUGGACGAAUUGGGCGAAAGCCUGAAUCCAGCAAUGCCGCGUGUGUGAAGAAGGCCUUCGGGUUGUAAAGCACUUUUGUCCGGAAAGAAAUCCUUGGCUCUAAUACAGUCGGGGGAUGACGGUACCGGAAGAAUAAGCACCGGCUAACUACGUGCCAGCAGCCGCGGUAAUACGUAGGGUGCAAGCGUUAAUCGGAAUUACUGGGCGUAAAGCGUGCGCAGGCGGUUUGCUAAGACCGAUGUGAAAUCCCCGGGCUCAACCUGGGAACUGCAUUGGUGACUGGCAGGGCUAGAGUAUGGCAGAGGGGGGUGAGAAUUCCACGUGUAGCAGUGAAAUGCGUAGAGAUGUGGAGGAAUACCGAUGGCGAAGGCAGCCCCCUGGCAAGUACUGACGCUCAUGCACG